CAAGGGCAAGAUCAUCCAGGCAGGUGUUUGUGCCGCACUGGUGCGGAAGCGUGUACGGCGCUGGCGGCCGGCUGCAACCCGAAUUCAAAAUGCAUGGCG
rnacentral:ribozyme from 9 species